rnacentral:rRNA from 1 species
CGCCUGGGGAGUAGGGUCGAAGGACUGAAACUAAAAGGAAUUGAGGGGGGCCCGCACAAGGGGGGGAGCAUGGGGUUUAAUUGGAAGCAAGGGGAAGAACCUUACCAGGUUUGGACAUCAUAGGACAACCCAAGAGAGAGGGGUUUCCUUUCGGGGAUAGAGUGACAGGUGGUGAAGGGUGGUGGUCAGCUGGGGUCGUGAGAUGUUGGGUUAAGUCCGGCAAGGAGCGCAACCCUUGAUCUUAGUUGCCAGCAUUCAGGUGGGCAAUUUAAGGUGACUGCCGGUGACAAACCGGAGGAAGGGGGGGAUGACGUCAAAUCAUCAUGCGCCUUAUGACCUGGGGUACACACGUGGUACAAUGGACAGGACAAAGGGGUGCAAGAGCGCAAGGGUUAGGCAAUUCCAUAAAUAUGUUCUCAGUUCGGAUCGCAGUUUGCAAAUUGGAUGGGUGGAGGUGGAAUCGGUAGUGAUAUGCGGAUCAGCAUGGCGCGGUGUUUAAGUUUACUGGGUUUUGGUUAAUUUGGGCCGGGGAAAGCUUUAA